rnacentral:rRNA from 1 species
UACGUAGGGUGCGAGCGUUAAUCGGAAUUACUGGGCGUAAAGCGUGCGCAGGUGGUUCGUUGUGUCCGUCGUGAAAGCCCCGGGCUUAACCUGGGAACUGCGAUGGAAACUAGCGAGCUGGAGUGUGGCAGAGGGGGGUGGAAUUCCGCGUGUAGCAGUGAAAUGCGUAGAGAUGCGGAGGAACACCGAUGGCGAAGGCAGCCCCCUGGACUAACACUGACGCUCAGGCACGAAAGCGUGGGGAGCAAACAGG